GAGGCUUGACCUUCUUAUCGAAUGCUUUUUCACUCUCUGCUGAUAUGACUGUCCAUGACACAUGGCAGUUGAUCUCUUCCUUUCGAUCGAAUUCAGCAUCAGCCAACUUGGGACUUUGAGGGUUGCUAUUUUUUUUGUUUCUUUCUUUCUUUUUCUUUCUUUUGAUUUGGAUUUCUUUUGAUUUUGCACCCUCUCUUUCUUUUUCUCUUCUUUUUUCUUUUUCUUUUUUUUUUGAUGCCCCAGUUGGUUGUUCUGCUGAUUUCUCGAGAUGCAGCUGAGUGAUCUUCUUUUCUUGCUCAAGAAGUCGGGCAAUCUCGUCAGGAAUCCCUUCAACAUCACUUCGUCCGCUUCG
rnacentral:lncRNA from 1 species